UUGUGGCCAAAUUACGUAGAAACCGCCGGUUCCUGUACGAUCACUGAAGUCAAGCAACGUCAAACCUGGUCAGUAUCUAGAUGGGUGACCGCUUGGGAAUAUCAGGUGGUGUAAG